AAUGGCCUUGAAUGGCACUCUGCUCUCCUUUCUCCAAUGUUAUACUUGGUUUUCUUUUUCAGUUCUGGAAUCAGCUAGACAAUUAUUUCCUGCGGGAGGUAUCAGCUUUUCAUCUUUUCCGUCUGCUUCUCUGUCAGUCCUCAGGCCCCAGCUCAGUGGGGACGGAGCGGAGAGCUAGACCCAGAGAGAGCGGGGCCCAUCCAAAUGUCACCUUUGCAGGAGGCUGGAAGGUGGUGGUACUUCACCUCUCCCCUGCAAGGUGGGACCAGCCCUAGAGGAAGGAGCCAGACCAGCACCUAAGGCAUCUUGGGGUGGCCCAGAUGUAACUGGGCUCAUUCUUUCCUCCAAUAACCGGAAAAAAAAAUACUCUGAGACCUGCCCAUCCGCACAGAGGACUCAGCAAAGGAGAGAGACCAGCACCAUCUUGGAUCGCCUGCCGCCUGCCUCCUCCCCAUCACCUCUAGCCCCAUCCUCACUGAUGCUGGGGGCCACCUUCAGCUCUGUGCACCACUUGGCCCCGAGGAAUUUUCUUAAGGAGGCUCCACACCCAAUGUGGGGCUUGAACUCACGACCUUGAGAUCAGGAGUCGCAUAUGCUACCGACUGAGCCAGCCGGGCACCCCUCUUAGUUUAUACUUAAGAACAACGUUGUGCUCUAGGCAGAAAAGCACAUCCGUCAUCCCCAAAGAGAGGAGUAAGUCAUCGAGGCAGUUAUUUUAGCUUCAGCCACCUGAUGGACUCUUAUUUAUGGCUUCUUCGUUGUACGUAUGCUUGGUUUUGAGGUGUCUUACCAAUAGUAUUACUAAGUCCUUCAUUUCCUAUAUGCACAAAAGCAGUGAGAUUGUUGAACGUGCCACUUAAGAGAUGUAUCUGCUCAUAAUGGAAAUGAGAGCAAAGAUUAUUUUUUUAAAGUUGAAAGUGAGAAAAUGCAAAAUUCUCCAUGUGCCUUUGAGGCAAAGCAUUGGAGAGUGGGGAUGACGAUACAUAUAAAGUGCUUAGAAACAACCUUUGCACAUAGUAAGCACCCAAGAAGUAUCUUCCAUUACCACCACCACCACCAUCAUCAUCAUCAUCAUCAUCAUGCGGAACAAGGAGGGAAUCAUAUAGUAUAUGGAAGAUUUUGAGCUGAUGCACUCUGCAGUUACAGCCAGAGGCAAGGACAACUGAAAAGCAAAUUGGAGAAAAUCCCAAGGAUGUGGCCACAGCUGAGCAUCAGCCUUGGCGACCUCAUGCAAAUUUAGGACCCUGCUGGGGAUUGGAGAACACAAGGGCUUAGCUUAUGGGAAGUGGAAAUUGCCAUUGGGCGAUGUUUGUUGCAAACCAUGGAGGUCCCAUGGAUUUAAGGUUCAUUUAAAUGUGUUCCUUGGGUGAUCGGGCUCUGGAUCCCAUAAGGUCUCUGAGACACUCAGGGACACCAUCUGGGGCAGAAGGGUCAUUUGCCUAAACAGAUUUCCAAAUUGCGAAGGAGAAGAAUGUAUGAGAGCAGCAAGGAGCGUGGUGGCUUUGCACGUGGAUACUGCAAAUGUAAACUCUUAUUGGACACCUCAGACUGAUAAAUUUUAUAUCAACCACUCACCUUUGUUGAGCAUGUAUGAUGCGCCCAGACUGUGUUCUAAGUAUAUUUCGUGGACGUUCACCCAAACUCUAAGAGCGAGAUACUGUUGUGUUCCCAUGUUACAGAUGUGGAAUCUGAGGCGCAACUUGCUUAAGGGAUCCAGCCAGUCAAUUUUGCAAGCAAGAGGUCAAUCAGGCAGUCUGCCUCCAAAGCGCAUGCUUUUACCUAACUGAUUUACAAAUGUCCUUUUAACAUGACCUAUUUUUAAGCAUAAAAGUUUCCACAUUAUCAUGACACCUAUCACUCUUAGGGAAGCAUGGCUGUUGAAGGCGAGGAGAAAGCCAUUUGAUUUAGAAAGAAGCACAUCAUUGACCCUUGAGUGGGUGGUUUCUGCAAAGCACUGGGAUGGCAGCCAGACUGUCAGGGCUUACCGGAGUCAAGGGAGGUGAGAGAAGGAAGGCCUCCAUGUAUAUAUCACUUCCGGGAGUUUGGCAGUAAUAGGCGAGAAAGAACUAGAAUUACAGCUACAGGGAGCAGCCGACCAUGUGAAGGCUUGUUUUUUUUUCUUCUCCCCAAGGUGAUUGAAGACACAUUGGAAAGAAGGAGAGGGUGCUGGUGGGGGGGAAGAAGAUAAAGAUGUUGAAGAGGAAGGCAAGAUGUUGCGAAUAAACAUCUGGGAAGGGAGAGCACUCGGGGUUAGAGAGCAGAGGGUUUGAAGUCCGGCUGAAUUUGGAAGAGAUGUUUUGGGUUUUACUUGUUAGUGAUCCCCUGAUGAAUCAUGGUUUAAAUUUUCCAUUAUCUGGACUCACCUUGUCCUGAAAGCCCACAUUCUCCUGGUGUGGAUGGUCCGUUAUCUAAUUUUAGGAGAAGUGGGUGUGUGUCCCACAGCUGUUACUCGAUAGCUGUGUGUUCUUGGACAGAUAAGUCUCUUCUUGUCUCUGAGCCUCAAUUUCCCCAUCUGUGGAGUGGCGGAGGCCAACUACAGGUCCUGGGUCCUUCCACCUGCAACGGGAUGAACUUCCGAUAUGAACAGAAAAAUAUCCUGCCAUUUUAGGGAAGAGAUUAAUUCCCUUAUUGUGUGAUUUUUGUUUGGGUGGGAGAAGCAACCACAGUCGCUUCCCUCUGCAGGAGAGCGGGUGAUUUGACCAGAACUUAAAGUGGGUCUGCAUUAUUUAUAAAUGUGUGUAAUGUUCGUUCAAAUGGAUUAAUUUGUUACCAAGAUUCUAAGGGCAUCAUUCUAAAUACUAUAAAAACGUAUGUCCUUCACUAGCCAUAUACAUACCUGAGGCUCAGGUAUGCUCUCUGGUUGCUGGAGAGAAGUGCACUGUCAUUUGAAUACACAAGUCCACCCACUGGGAGUGGGAUUGCCAAUCUCCCUAAGAGCCUAGUUCUCAGGAAGGAGGACAAAAGGGUGUACUUUUGCUGCCAACCACCUGUUGUUAACAGCAUUUAAUGAGUAGAAUUUCCCCCACCAGAACUAUAACUCGACAGAUGCAUAGAGUGCCUACUGUGUGUCAGGCACCAAACAGGAAAAUGGGGACCGUAGAUAUCAGUCUUGCUGAUCAAAGCCUGUAACCACAAUAAAAACACAAAACAGGAAACCA